UCGAGGAUCUUCGGCAAUGGGCGCAAGCCUGACCGAGCGACGCCGCGUGUGCGACGAAGGCCUUCGGGUUGUAAAGCACUGUCGAGGGGGAGAAAAGCCCGCAAGGGUGUGAUCUAUCCCUGGAGGAAGCACGGGCUAAGUUCGUGCCAGCAGCCGCGGUAAGACGAACCGUGCGAACGUUGUUCGGAAUCACUGGGCUUAAAGGGCGCGUAGGCGGGCUGCCGCGUCCGGGGUGAAAUCCUCCCGCUCAACGGGAGAACGGCCUCGGAUACGGGCGGCCUCGAGGGGGGUAGGGGCAUCUGGAACUGUGAGUGGAGCGGUGAAAUGCGUUGAUAUUCACAGGAACUCCGGUGGCGAAGGCGAGGUGCUGGACCCCAUCUGACGCUGAGGCGCGAAAGCCAGGGGAGCGAACGGGAUUAGAUACCCCUGUAGUCC
rnacentral:rRNA from 1 species